CGGGGCGUAGCGCAGCCCGGUAGCGCACCUGCUUCGGGAGCAGGGGGUCGGAGGUUCAAAUCCUCUCGCCCCGACGA
rnacentral:tRNA from 1 species